rnacentral:lncRNA from 1 species
CCCAGCUACUCGAGAGUCUGAGGCAAGACUCAACCCUGGAGGCGGAAGUUGCAGUGAGCCGAGAUCAUGCCAUUGGACUCCAGCCUGGGCAACAAGAGCGAAACUCCAUCUCAAAAAAAAGAGGAUUGCUUAAGCCCAGGAGUUCAAGGCUGCAGUGAGCUAUGAUAGCACCACUGCCCUCCAGCCUAAACCUUUUCCUAAGCUGGGACUCCGAGGCAUGGCUUUGGUCCAGGAGGAAAGAAGCAGCAUUGGUGAACCCAACUCAAGUGCUCAAGGACAAGAGGGGAAGGCUUGGCCCAGGCCUCAGCUACCAUCCUGCUUUCCAAGGACAGCAAAAGUUCUGCCUGGAUUCCUCCAAGCUGGCUUCUGCUUGUGCCUCAUUGGCCAGAACAGGGUCACAUGACCAACCUAGCUGCAAGGGAGGCUGGGAAGCAAGCAGGUUGUCCUGCCAGGCUUAGACCAGGCUGACUCUGACCCAAAGGACCUCCCACCUGCUUAAAUUUCCUCUUGCUUUGGGUCUACUGCCAGUUUUUCUCUUCUCUUGAAACAAGAGAACUCUCUCCAAAGGCAAACCCCGUUUCUGUUCAUGGAAACUCUCUCCAGCUACACCCUGGGAACGAGUUUCUGUUGGCAUUAUUCAGGAAUAUUUCUCUGUGUGUGUGUGUGUGUGUGUGUGUGUGUGUGUGUGUGUGUGUGUGUGUGUGUGUGGUUUAAUUUCCUCUGGACACAUCAAAAUUCUCUGCAUUUCAUUAUCACCACCUGCCACCAGGAGGGGACAGGCUGCCUGAGAAUGGAGCCAACAGGAAAGAAUUCAGAAGGAAGCCCAGAUCUGAGAAACAUGGAGUCCUGCUGACCCAAUGAGCCCCUAAGUCCGCCAUGCCUGCAACUACCCCUGAUUUUCUUUUUUUUUUUUUUUUUUUGAGACAGAGUCUCGCUCUGUCGCCCAAGCUGGAGUGCAGUGACGCGAUCUCUGCUCACUGCAAGCUC